rnacentral:rRNA from 1 species
GGAGCGUUCUGUAAGCCUGCGAAGGUGUGCUGUGAGGCAUGCUGGAGGUAUCAGAAGUGCGAAUGCUGACAUAAGUAACGAUAAAGCGGGUGAAAAGCCCGCUCGCCGGAAGACCAAGGGUUCCUGUCCAACGUUAAUCGGGGCAGGGUGAGUCGACCCCUAAGGCGAGGCCGAAAGGCGUAGUCGAUGGGAAACAGGUUAAUAUUCCUGUACUUGGUGUUACUGCGAAGGGGGGACGGAGAAGGCUAUGUUGGCCGGGCGACGGUUGUCCCGGUUUAAGCGUGUAGGCUGGUUUUCCAGGCAAAUCCGGAAAAUCAAGGCUGAGGCGUGAUGACGAGGCACUACGGUGCUGAAGCAACAAAUGCCCUGCUUCCAGGAAAAGCCUCUAAGCAUCAGGUAACAUCAAAUCGUACCCCAAACCGACACAGGUGGUCAGGUAGAGAAUACCAAGGCGCUUGAGAGAACUCGGGUGAAGGAACUAGGCAAAAUGGUGCCGUAACUUCGGGAGAAGGCACGCUGAUAUGUAGGUGAAGUCCCUUGCGGAUGGAGCUGAAAUCAGUCGAAGAUACCAGCUGGCUGCAACUGUUUAUUAAAAACACAGCACUGUGCAAACACGAAAGUGGACGUAUACGGUGUGACGCCUGCCCGGUGCCGGAAGGUUAAUUGAUGGGGUCAGCGCAAGCGAAGCUCUUGAUCGAAGCCCCGGUAAACGGCGGCCGUAACUAUAACGGUCCUAAGGUAGCGAAAUUCCUUGUCGGGUAAGUUCCGACCUGCACGAAUGGCGUAAUGAUGGCCAGGCUGUCUCCACCCGAGACUCAGUGAAAUUGAACUCGCUGUGAAGAUGCAGUGUACCCGCGGCAAGACGGAAAGACCCCGUGAACCUUUACUAUAGCUUGACACUGAACAUUGAGCCUUGAUGUGUAGGAUAGGUGGGAGGCUUUGAAGUGUGGACGCCAGUCUGCAUGGAGCCGGCCUUGAAAUACCACCCUUUAAUGUUUGAUGUUCUAACGUGGACCCGUGAUCCGGGUUGCGGACAGUGUCUGGUGGGUAGUUUGACUGGGGCGGUCUCCUCCUAAAGAGUAACGGAGGAGCACGAAGGUUGGCUAAUCCUGGUCGGACAUCAGGAGGUUAGUGCAAUGGCAUAAGCCAGCUUGACUGCGAGCGUGACGGCGCGAGCAGGUGCGAAAGCAGGUCAUAGUGAUCCGGUGGUUCUGAAUGGAAGGGCCAUCGCUCAACGGAUAAAAGGUACUCCGGGGAUAACAGGCUGAUACCGCCCAAGAGUUCAUAUCGACGGCGGUGUUUGGCACCUCGAUGUCGGCUCAUCACAUCCUGGGGCUGAAGUAGGUCCCAAGGGUAUGGCUGUUCGCCAUUUAAAGUGGUACGCGAGCUGGGUUUAGAACGUCGUGAGACAGUUCGGUCCCUAUCUGCCGUGGGCGCUGGAGAACUGAGGGGGGCUGCUCCUAGUACGAGAGGACCGGAGUGGACGCAUCACUGGUGUUCGGGU